rnacentral:rRNA from 1 species
AGCGAACGCUGGCGGCAGGCCUAACACAUGCAAGUCGAACGGACCCUUCGGGGUUAGUGGCGGACGGGUGAGUAACACGUGGGAACGUGCCUUUAGGUUCGGAAUAGCUCCUGGAAACGGGUGGUAAUGCCGAAUGUGCCCUUCGGGGGAAAGAUUUAUCGCCUUUAGAGCGGCCCGCGUCUGAUUAGCUAGUUGGUUAGGUAACGGCUCACCAAGGCGACGAUCAGUAGCUGGUCUGAGAGGAUGACCAGCCACACUGGGACUGAGACACGGCCCAGACUCCUACGGGAGGCAGCAGUGGGGAAUCGUGCGCAAUGGGCGAAAGCCUGACGCAGCCAUGCCGCGUGAAUGAUGAAGGUCUUAGGAUUGUAAAAUUCUUUCACCGGGGACGAUAAUGACGGUACCCGGAGAAGAAGCCCCGGCUAACUUCGUG